CCUACGGGUGGCAGCAGUGAGGAAUAUUGGUCAAUGGGCGAAAGCCUGAACCAGCCAAGUCGCGUGAGGGAGUACUGCCCUAUGGGUUGUAAACCUCUUUUGUCGGGGAGCAAAAGCCGGACGUGUCCGGCUGUGAGAGUACCCGAAGAAAAAGCAUCGGCUAACUCCGUGCCAGCAGCCGCGGUAAUACGGAGGAUGCGAGCGUUAUCCGGAUUUAUUGGGUUUAAAGGGUGCGCAGGCGGAUUUUUAAGUCAGCGGUAAAAUCGUGGGGCUCAACCCCAUCCAGCCGUUGAAACUGGGGAUCUAGAGUGUGCGAGAGGUAUGCGGAAUGCGUGGUGUAGCGGUGAAAUGCAUAGAUAUCACGCAGAACCCCGAUUGCGAAGGCAGCAUACCGGUGCACAACUGACGCUCAGGCACGAAAGCGUGGGUAUCGAACAGGAUUAGAUACCCUUGUAGUC
rnacentral:rRNA from 1 species